rnacentral:rRNA from 1 species
AGAGUUUGAUCAUGGCUCAGGACGAACGCUGGCGGCGUGCCUAAUACAUGCAAGUAGAACGCUGAAGACUGGUGCUUGCACUAGUCAGAUGAGUUGCGAACGGGUGAGUAACGCGUAGGUAACCUACCUCAUAGCGGGGGAUAACUAUUGGAGACGAUAGCUAAUACCGCAUGACAAUUAAGUACUCAUGUACUAAAUUUAAAAGGAGCAAUUGCUUCACUAUGAGAUGGACCUGCGUUGUAUUAGCUAGUUGGUGAGGUAACGGCUCACCAAGGCCACGAUACAUAGCCGACCUGAGAGGGUGAUCGGCCACACUGGGACUGAGACACGGCCCAGACUCCUACGGGAGGCAGCAGUAGGGAAUCUUCGGCAAUGGGGGCAACCCUGACCGAGCAACGCCGCGUGGGUGAAGAAGGUUUUCGGAUCGUAAAGCUCUGUUGUUAGAGAAGAACGGUAAUGGGAGUGGAAAAUCCAUUACGUGACGGUAACUAACCAGAAAGGGACGGCUAACUACGUGCCAGCAGCCGCGGUAAUACGUAGGUCUCGAGCGUUGUCCGGAUUUAUUGGGCGUAAAGCGAGCGCAGGCGGUUAUUUAAGUCUGAAGUUAAAGGCCGUGGCUCAACCAUGGUUCGCUUUGGAAACUGGAUAACUUGAGUGCAGAAGGGGAGAGUGGAAUUCCAUGUGUAGCGGUGAAAUGCGUAGAUAUAUGGAGGAACACCGGUGGCGAAAGCGGCUCUCUGGUCUGUAACUGACGCUGAGGCUCGAAAGCGUGGGGAGCAAACAGGAUUAGAUACCCUGGUAGUCCACGCCGUAAACGAUGAGUGCUAGGUGUUAGGCCCUUUCCGGGGCUUAGUGCCGCAGCU